AGCUCCAAUAGCGUAUAUUAAAGUUGUUGCAGUUAAAAAGCUCGUAGUUGGAUUUGUGGCUGUCGCCUGCGGCUCGGCAUUCGUGCUGUUGCUUAUAGCGUCGCCAUCCUUGGGUGGAACCUGUGUGGCAUUAGGUUGUCGUGCAGGGGAUGCCCAUCGUUUACUGUGAAAAAAUUAGAGUGUUCAAAGCAGGCUUAUGCCGUUGAAUAUAUUAGCAUGGAAUAAUAAGAUAGGACCUUGGUACUAUUUUGUUGGUUUGCGCACCAAGGUAAUGAUUAAUAGGGACAGUUGGGGGUAUUCGUAUUCCAUUGUCAGAGGUGAAAUUCUUGGAUUUUUGGAAGACGAACUACUGCGAAAGCAUUUACCAAGGAUGUUU
rnacentral:rRNA from 1 species